rnacentral:rRNA from 1 species
GACGAACGCUGGCGGCGUGCUUAACACAUGCAAGUCGAACGGAAAGGCCCUGCUUUUGUGGGGUGCUCGAGUGGCGAACGGGUGAGUAACACGUGAGUAACCUGCCCUUGACUUUGGGAUAACUUCAGGAAACUGGGGCUAAUACCGGAUAGGAGCUCCUGCUGCAUGGUGGGGGUUGGAAAGUUUCGGCGGUUGGGGAUGGACUCGCGGCUUAUCAGCUUGUUGGUGGGGUAGUGGCUUACCAAGGCUUUGACGGGUAGCCGGCCUGAGAGGGUGACCGGCCACAUUGGGACUGGGAUACGGCCCAGACUCCUAGGGGAGGCAGGAGGGGGGAAUAUUGAAAAAGGGGCGGAAGCCUGAUGCAGCAACGCCGGGGGGGGGAUGACGGCCUUCGGGUUGUAACCCGCUUUCGCCUGUGACGAAGCGUGGGUGACGGUAAUGGGUAAAGAAGCACCGGCUAACUACGU